rnacentral:rRNA from 1 species
ACGUGGGUGAUCUGCCCUGCACUUUGGGAUAAGCCUGGGAAACUGGGUCUAAUACCGGAUAGGACNACGGNCUGCAUGGGUUGUGGUGGAAAGCUUUUGCGGUGUGGGAUGGGCCCGCGGCCUAUCAGCUUGUUGGUGGGGUGAUGGCCUACCAAGGCGACGACGGGUAGCCGGCCUGAGAGGGUGACCGGCCACACUGGGACUGAGAUACGGCCCAGACUCCUACGGGAGGCAGCAGUGGGGAAUAUUGCACAAUGGGCGCAAGCCUGAUGCAGCGACGCCGCGUGGGGGAUGACGGCCUUCGGGUUGUAAACCUCUUUCACUAGGGACGAAGCGNAAGUGACGGUACCUAUAGAAGAAGCACCGGCCAACUACGUGCCAGCAGCCGCGGUAAUACGUAGGGUGCGAGCGUUGUCCGGAAUUACUGGGCGUAAAGAGCUCGUAGGUGGUUUGUCGCGUUGUUCGUGAAAACUCACAGCUUAACUGUGGGCGUGCGGGCGAUACGGGCAGACUAGAGUACUGCAGGGGAGACUGGAAUUCCUGGUGUAGCGGUGGAAUGCGCAGAUAUCAGGAGGAACACCGGUGGCGAAGGCGGGUCUCUGGGCAGUAACUGACGCUGAGGAGCGAAAGCGUGGGGAGCGAACAGGAUUAGAUACCCUGGUAGUCCACGCCGUAAACGGUGGGUACUAGGUGUGGGUUCC